rfam:Penicillium coprophilum strain IBT 31321 PENCOP_contig002, whole genome shotgun sequence.
GCAACUUUGGCCGAGCGGUUAAGGCGCUAGACUCAAGAGACCUCCUCUUCACUGAUUACAGUGAGCAUUCUAGUUACGAAAGUAGCGUGGGUUCGAUUCCCACAGGUUGCA